UUUGUUCUUGUUUCUCACCAUCCUACUCUAUUUUAAUUAGCAAUAAAUGAAAUUAAUCUUCCCCAAGUCAAGUCUGUUUUGCCUGUGAUGGUACCAGCACAUUUUGCUGA